CAAAUAUCCCUCUACUCGCGGAGCCGGUUCCGCGCUCUCUCGUCCAACCAGGCCACUAGCUAGUCGCCGCCGGCUAUAGCCGCAGCAGGAGCUCGCCGCCGUGCCGAGCCCGAAAUCGCCGGCGCCCUACUUGCGAAGCCACGGGGCGCGCAGCAUGAGGGCGGCGGUGAGCUCACCACCUCCGCACUGCUUACCUUUGGAGCCGCCUAAUUUGCAAUGAAUUGUAUCCAUAUUCGCUGGCGUCGACACCCCGCAUCCAGUGGAUAUGGAUAUCCAGAAAUCCACUUUAUGUGUAUUCAUAUCCACUAGAAAGAACUUACUAUAAGUGUUGCUAAACUACUUCGGCUUGCACGUCAAUGUGGCAAGUUGGUGCCAGUUGGAAGCAAAUGCGGAACUUUUACGAUUCCCCCACUACCGCCACCCUCGCAAAGUGCAGAUCCAUGAGCUUUCGUUGAUGCAAGGGGAGCGGCACCCAAGGAAGAAUAAUGAAGUGAAAGAAUAACUAUGUCGCCAGCUCUCUUUUUCUAUCAUGUAUUCUGUCAUGGCAUGAUAACAAAGAACAAUAAAAUUAUUAGGGCAAAAGUUUGAUGAGGCCCAUUUAUAGCACUUCUUUCUUUAUGUAA